GCUCCCCACAUGCCUGUUAACUGGCUGUGCUGCCUGCCAUGGAUCUGAUCCCCGUCCCCAUCGGUUACAUAAAGAAACAGGCUCAAGGAAAUUCACUUCCUUAGCCCAAGGUCGCCUGUCUAGAAAGGGUUGAGCAGGGUAAAGUACACACAAAAGCAACAUCACUUUUGUGCCUGGAAAACACCCACAGUGCAGUGACGGAGUGGGGUGGUGGGAAUAACCACUGCAGUGACCUGAAGGCAGAACCUGAGUAGGGGUGCACAAGUGGGGAGAAUGCUGCAAGUGGCAGGAAUGACGGUGCCCAGGUUGAAGGAGAGGACAUGGUAUGUCUAAGUAAUGACCUCUGUGCCGGAAUUGUUUUUGGUUAUGAUUUCAAACUUGGGUCAAGAAGCUUCUCUCACUGAUGUUCCAAUCCCCAACUCCAUCCUCUCCUUCCCAACCCUGACCACCUAACCACAAGCCUUCCUUGUCCCUCUUUUAUUCACACUCUCUACACCCCAGUAAAUGAGAGGGGCUGGGAGUGGACCUGCUGGGAGGAGCGCUGGGAAGGCUUGUGAGCAUGCAAGCACAAGUGUAUGUCAAAUCGGGGCCAGCAGUGGCCAAUAGUUUACAUUAGAAAUAUGAAGUAGACUAUUUUCCAUUUUAUAAUUUUUUAGUUUUCUUGAUGUCUUUGGAGCAUAUUAAACAUCUAAUAAUGCUUUUGAUUUGCAGAUUCUGGACAUAUCUUUAAAUGGAGGAAAAUUAACAUCAAUAACUAUGUGAAAUGGGGCCAAGAGGAACCGAGUAGAAGCACUUGGCCAUAUGUCGAUGUCGCUUCGUGGGAAGGGAGAUGAAUAGGUUUGGGGGUUGAUGGAGAAUCAAGAGGUGAGUUUUAGACAUGUUGAAUUGAUAUGCCUGUGCGAAAACUUGUAAGUGUGCAUUAAAUCAAAAGUAUUCCUGAGUA